CAACUUUCAACAACGGAUCUCUUGGUUCUGGCAUCGAUGAAGAACGCAGCGAAAUGCGAUAAGUAGUGUGAAUUGCAGAAUUCAGUGAAUCAUCGAAUCUUUGAACGCACAUUGCGCCCCUUGGUAUUCCAUGGGGCAUGCCUGUUCGAGCGUCAU
rnacentral:rRNA from 13 species